GCACUGCUGAGGAGUCCCGUCCUAGGACGAAACGGCAGUCCAGUGC
rfam:Schistosoma mansoni, Puerto Rico, WGS project CABG01000000 data, contig: 0253